UCUUUACAAAUUGUCCUUCCAAGCUGCUGCUACCUUAUAAACAUCUGAAUCUCCCAGACUAAGUUUUUUUUUUGGGGGGGGGGGCACACAAAGACUUUUGAAUGCUGCUAUAGCUGUAUUCUUUGGUUGCUAAGUAAACACAAGGGAUUGUUAUAGUAAUUCUUGCUUCCUCCCUCUGCUAGCUGUAGACCGUUGCCAUGAAGAUUCUGAAUCUGAAACUAUAGCUGUUGCAGAAAAGCUUCCCAGUCUCGUUUCUAGGAGACAGAUUGUCAUUUUUGGGCAUCAGGAGGAUUCAUCAGUCAUGCCAGGAGCAAAUUUACAACCCCCUAGCGAAGGCCUGUGCUUGACAAAAUCUCUUAUUGUCCAGAGGAACCUGCCUGUAUCAGUGAAGAAAGAGGACCCAGAGAAGAUAUCUGAAGCCUUGACUUCUGUACAGGUCCUACGGCUAGAUAGGGAGAGAAUUAGCUGCAUUGCCAACCUGCCAGAAUUAAAACAUGUCCACAGCAUCUAUUUACAACAGAAUCAAAUAAAGAAAAUUGAAAACUUAAACUGCUUUCCAAACUUGAAGUUUCUGUCAUUAUCUGGGAAUUAUAUCAACAAAGUAGAGAACCUCCAACCUCUCCUCAAGUUGAAAUUUUUGGAUCUUUCACAGAAUUGCAUUGAUACUUUAGACAUAGGUUAGUCUAUGUCUAUUCCUCUGUUCAUCUUUGCUAUCUACACCAGCCAUCCUUAAACUUGUGUUUUCCUGAUGAGCUGCCCCUGAACCUUGCAAUCCUUGACCUGACUGGAAAUAAAUGCAUGAAUCAAAAAGGCUACAGAGAAUGUGUGUUGGCAGCUCUGCCCCAUCUGAUAGAACUGGACCACAAAAGCAUCCCAAAGCAGAA